GACGAACGCUGGCGGCGUGCUUCAUACAUGCAAGUCGAACGCGAAUCGGUAGCUUGCUACCGAGGAAAGUGGCGGACGGGUGAGUAAUGUGUAGAGAAUCUGCCCUAGAGCGGGGGACAACAGCUGGAAACGGUUGCUAAUACCCCAUAUGAGCGUAUCUGAAAUGGUAUUCUUGAAAACUCCGGUGCUCUAGGAUGAGUCUGCAUCUGAUUAGCUAGUUGGGGGUGUAAUGGACCACCAAGGCGACGAUCAGUAGCUGGACUGAGAGGUUGACCGGCCACAUUGGGACUGAGACACGGCCCAA
rnacentral:rRNA from 1 species